ACCCUAAACCCUUGCCGAUGCCAACAGUUAUUCUUCCUACUCUCGAAAUGGCUUGGCGCGGAUCGAUUUCGAGAUCGCUGCUCGCCGCCGCCCGGUCCUCGUCCCCCAGGUCGUCGCCGGCGGUCCCUCGCCUCCGUUCCCAGCCCGCCGCCGCUCCCCGACUCCAACGUCGGCGCAUCUCCUUCUCCCCUCCCCGAUCUUUGGGACAAAUAGGAUGCGCGCAGUCCUUCCUUCCACUUUACAGCGUGGUGGCCGCGCCUCGUCUCACCUCCCACCUGUCGGUCAGCGCGAGAGCGUGCUGCGAGCUCUCUCAGGGGAAAAAUGGAAAAGAUGGUUGAUGCAAGAGACAGAGCGUCAUCCCGGAAGACCAUUGUCUAAGCCAAUAUCUUGUGUUUACUGAGUGCUUCUAGGGUGGCUUUUAUUAAAGGCACUUGAAGGAAAUAGGAUCAAUUGGAAUAUUAGCAAGCGAGGAUUCUUAUUAGGCAUAGUAUGAGAACCGGCUUAUGCACUAACUGGAAAAUCAGGAUGAACUACAAGUGAUUUUUGCUUGUUUCAUUAGAAUAAUUUCAUAAGUAUGCAAGAAUAAGUGUUACUGUUGCUUCUGGUGAAACAUCAGCCAUGAUAAUUAUGUUACGAUUGUGCCACUUGAAUUUUUUUGGUGGUUUAAUUGGUGUCUUUAUUUUAAUUUUUCA